rnacentral:tRNA from 1 species
AAACUUUUAGUAUAAUUAGUACGUUCAGUUUCCACCUGAAAGGAUUUAUUUUUAAAAAAGUUUA